AAAUUGAAGAGUUUGAUCAUGGCUCAGAUUGAACGCUGGCGGCAGGCCUAACACAUGCAAGUCGAACGGUAACAGGAAGAAGCUUGCUUCUUUGCUGACGAGUGGCGGACGGGUGAGUAAUGUCUGGGAAACUGCCUGAUGGAGGGGGAUAACUACUGGAAACGGUAGCUAAUACCGCAUAACGUCGCAAGACCAAAGAGGGGGACCUUCGGGCCUCUUGCCAUCGGAUGUGCCCAGAUGGGAUUAGCUAGUAGGUGGGGUAACGGCUCACCUAGGCGACGAUCCCUAGCUGGUCUGAGAGGAUGACCAGCCACACUGGAACUGAGACACGGUCCAGACUCCUACGGGAGGCAGCAGUGGGGAAUAUUGCACAAUGGGCGCAAGCCUGAUGCAGCCAUGCCGCGUGUAUGAAGAAGGCCUU
rnacentral:rRNA from 1 species